rnacentral:rRNA from 1 species
GAUCCUGGCUCAGGAUGAACGCUAGCUACAGGCUUAACACAUGCAAGUCGAGGGGAAACGACAUCGAAAGCUUGCUUUGAUGGGCGUCGACCGGCGCACGGGUGAGUAACGCGUAUCCAACCUUCCCCAUAGUCAGGAAUAGCCCGGCGAAAGUCGAAUUAAUGCCUGAUGUUUUCCACGGACGGCAUCUGAUGUGGAACAAAGAUUCAUCGCUAUGGGAUGGGGAUGCGUCUGAUUAGCUUGUUGGCGGGGUAACGGCCCACCAAGGCAACGAUCAGUAGGGGUUCUGAGAGGAAGGUCCCCCACAUUGGAACUGAGACACGGUCCAAACUCCUACGGGAGGCAGCAGUGAGGAAUAUUGGUCAAUGGGCGGAAGCCUGAACCAGCCAAGUAGCGUGAGGGAUGACUGCCCUAUGGGUUGUAAACCUCUUUUAUAAGGGAAUAAAAUACGGGACGUGUCCUGUUUUGCAUGUACCUUAUGAAUAAGGACCGGCUAAUUCCGUG